GUGCCAGCAGCCGCGGUAAUACGAAGGGUGCAAGCGUUACUCGGAAUUACUGGGCGUAAAGCGUGCGUAGGUGGUUCGUUAAGUCUGAUGUGAAAGCCCUGGGCUCAACCUGGGAAUUGCAUUGGAUACUGGCGGGCUAGAGUGCGGUAGAGGAUGGCGGAAUUCCCGGUGUAGCAGUGAAAUGCGUAGAGAUCGGGAGGAACAUCUGUGGCGAAGGCGGCCAUCUGGACCAGCACUGACACUGAGGCACGAAAGCGUGGGGAGCAAACAGGAUUAGAUACCCUGGUAGUCC
rnacentral:rRNA from 1 species